rnacentral:ncRNA from 2 species
AAACCGAAUAUUAUCUUGCUUCAUAUAUGUGUAGGAUAAGGCUACAUGUUUCUACCAACAGCCGUAAACUGUUGACUAUGAAGGAAGGCUUUUGCUUU